GGGUCGCCGCGAGGGGCAGCGGCGGCCCCGCCCUGCCCGCCGGGGGUCUGCGCUCGGGCUGCGGGGGCCUGAGGGACGGGCGGGGCCGGGCCGGGCUGGGCGGGCUCAGGGGCGGCCCCGCAGACGGUAAAACACUGCUGGGAGCCCGGGGCAGGUAUCUGUGUUGACAUAGCUUAGAGGAACGGAAGAGCUGGGAUGAGCUUUCCAGUGUGGUGCUCAGGCUCUGAAAGUCACAAGUCCACAAGCUCUGUCUCCAGUGACGUUGCCCAGAUGGUGCAGCUCAGAACAUCGAUGUUCCUGCGGGUGCUGGCAAACCGGCUGAGCUCAGAUUCACCUUUAGCCCAGUGUAUCCUUUGGCUUCUCAAAUAACCUGACACAUGCAGAAAAUACUUUUGUCCCAUGUCUGAAAAGAACAGCGUGCUUGUGAACCAUGUGAGGAUCCAUUGGCGCUUCUGGUCCAUUAGUUACCAAAAGACCGUAAGAUCACUUGGAGAAGAUUCACCCUGGAUAUGGAAUGGAAGACAGCCAGGGAGGCUGCAAUUUCCUAUUAGUACUGUUUGGUGGUGCCUUUGGGAAAGACAGUAUCACCACAUAUCUCUUCUCUUGCACUUCUCCCAUUCCCAGCCAUGCUGUGACUGCAUCAUGCCUUGCCUUUGUAUGCCAGAAGUCAAAAAAGAACAAGGAGUAAUGGGAAAUCUGAUAUGGAAGUCAGUUGCUAAAGAAUAGGGAUAUAAUUAAUGCCAGUCGACAUAGUUUUAUGGAAACUCGGUCUUGUCAAACAAACUUGAUCUCAAUAAUGUAAUCUCAAAGAAUGGAUUGUUAAAGCCAAUUGUAUAGAUGUGAGGUACUUAUACUUUCAUAAAGCAUUUGGCUUAGUACUGUGUGAUAGUCUGGCUAAAAUUUUAGUAUUACAUGAUAUCAGUAAAGUGCCUGUUAAAUGGAUUAGGAACUGGUUAGUAAAGAGAGCUCAAAGGCAUCAUUUGUGGGAAGUAUCACUGAAUGAGAGUGUCCAGGGGAUUUGGCAAGAACUGAUAUCAAGUUCAGUGCUAUUCAACAGGUUUGUCUAUGAUUUGGAAGUAACUAUCAAUCGUAGCUGAGUGUUAAGUUUUGCAAUGUCACAAGAUAGGGUGAUAAAUAAUGAGAAAAACUAUAAUAUAAAGUGAUUAGCAUCACAAGGAAAGUUAAUUCUGCCAAAACGUGUAUUAGCAGUCAUGUUCAAAGUAAUACACUUGGGAGCAAGUAUCUUUCAGUCCUCCAUUCUGUAGCUUUGUAUUAAAAAAAAAAUUAUUGCUUUCCUUUGAGUUGACCACAGGAUCAGGAAGUGGGAGUGCUCUGUGACCUCCGCAUAUGGCACUGACAGACUGCUAGUAGAAUGCAGCAUACACCUCAGUUUGUAGUUUUUAAAGGAAAGUAGAGAAACUUAAGAGAUCAAAGCAGAGGAACCAAGAUGAUUGGAAUGCGAAAAUAGAUCUCAGCUACUUUCAAAAACAUUGAGAAUGGUAGUGCAGAAAUACCUUAAUGGAGAAAAAGUGCCAGGGUGCACUUUUAUCCCCCAUGAUCAGAGGACCCUUUCAGGACAACAGGAACCAACAUCUGGAACCUAGAACAGUUUCUAUUAAAAUUGCUAGAGAAAUUUAUAUUAAAAUAAGGUACAUUUCUUUUAAUAGAAGAAUGAACAAAUAUUGGAAAGACUUAAAAGGAUGCUUUUUGUUUUUCAUAUCCUUAGCAUCUCUCCAGUGCCUUAACAAAAGAGUCAUUUUAACUCGUUCAGCUCAAAGUGUCAUUUUGUAGUCUGAAAUAUACAGGAGGGCAUCCACAUGGACUUCACUCCCUUAAGUAUGAAUCCAUGAAGUGAACACAGUGCUAAAGUUUCCUGUUGGCUAAGCAUCGUCUUUGUCUUUGCAUCAUAUGAAGUCAUAGGAGCCCUGCAGUGUUUCACUGUGCCCAUAUCCAAAAAGAAUAAACCACGUGAUCAGGUAAU